GUCUUUUGUAUUAAAGAAUUAAAUGGAUGAAAUAUGAAGUUAUUAAAAGAAAAAGGGGUGAAAAGAACAAAGUUUUGUCCAUCUUUGUUCAUCAUAGCUGAAAGUUAGAGAAGAGAAAGGAGAGGAGAAAGCUCUUGAGUAUUCGGUCAUUAGGAGGAGGAAAAUUGAAGGCGGUUCGUGUGUGGAUCUCGUUAACAUUUCGUCGCAAACAGGAAAUCCCCAACCAUAGUGGGCUUGGAGCUGUGAGGGAAUUCGGAGUGGCCACCCGUUCUGAAAGUUUGAUUUUCUUCUGGUGAACUGGACAUCCUUUUAAUUACGUUUGAGGUUUUGGGCUUUUAAAUGUAAUAAGGCCGCUUAUUUAUUUUUGAUGGUUUUAAUAUGUAUUACUAAGAUAGGUAUUACUUA